GUGCUUACUGUGAGAAUCCUUCAUUCCACCCAUCAUGCAGCUUGGAGGAAUCUUUCUUUCUAACGAUCUCUUAUAACAAUUAUUUAUUCUCCCCAAGAAGGUUUCUCUCGAGUUCAUUUCACUUCCAGCCAGCUGAGGUUUCCAGACGUGCUCAGUGAAGGUGUUGCAAGCAGACAUUUUCCCAGAGCUCAGCGCGGGAUGCCGUGCUGUUCAGUGCAUGGAGAUCUCCAAGAAGACCAUCUACUCAAAAAGAUUAGUGCAGGUCAGAGUCAGAGGACGCCAGGUUUGGAGCUGCAGUGCAGACACGGAGCAGCCCCAGCUCAGGCGUCUUCCCCAUCAGGAAUGGAACCUUGCACACAAAUGCAGCGGUAUUUCUGUGUCUCUCAUCUGUUGACAUCAUCUUUGCCGAGUGCACACAGCUAGCAAUAAACAUGCAUUUGGAGCAGUU